rnacentral:rRNA from 1 species
UACAGAGGUCUCAAGCGUUGUUCGGAAUCACUGGGCGUAAAGCGUGCGUAGGCUGUUUCGUAAGUCGUGUGUGAAAGGCGCGGGCUCAACGCCGUCGAGCCGUUGAAACUGGCGUUCUUGAGUGGGCGAGAAGUAUGCGGAAUGCGUGGUGUAGCGGUGAAAUGCAUAGAUAUCACGCAGAACUCCGAUUGCGAAGGCAGCAUACCGGCGCCCUACUGAUGCUGAGGCACGAAAGCGUGGGUAUCGAACAGG